rnacentral:misc_RNA from 1 species
UUAUCAUUUAGAGGAAGGAGAAGUCGUAACAAGGUUUUCAUAGGUAAACCUGCAGAAGGAUCAUUGUCAAGGCCUGUCAAGCAGUAAGACCUAUGAACCGGUGACCCUAAUGAGAAGCGCAUGGCUAGAAGAGCGCGGCGAACCACGUUCGGUGCGAUGGGCACCAAGGAAUUGAGAUGGAAUAAGCGCGGCUCCCUCCGAGGAUGCCGGCGUGCGGUCGGAUCUUACACGACUCUCGGUAACGGAUAUCUCGGUUCUUGCAUCGAUGAAGAACGUAGCAAAAUACGAUACUUGGUGUGAAUUGCAGAAUCCCGUGAACCAUCGAGUCUCUGAACAUAAGUUGCGCCCGAGGCCACCCGACCGAGGGCAUGCCUGCCUGGGCAUCAUGCAUCGUGCUGCCCCACCCGGUACUCUCCCCAUCCUGCUGCAGCAUCGUCGAGGGGCAGAGACUAGCCGCCCCUGCACCCCGCACCCGCGGCCUACCGAAAAGCAUUCGCUCGGGCAAAGCAAAGUGGCACCCAACUCGGCCACCCCGUGCGGCCCUUGCGCAGCGACCCUAGGUCAGACGGGGACACCUACUGAGUUUAAGCAUAUCAA